AGGGGAAAGUGGGGAUCGCAAGACCUCACGUUAUUCGAGCGGCCGACGUCUGAUUAGCUAGUUGGUGGGUAAAGGCCUACCAAGGCGACGAUCAGUAGCGGGUCUGAGAGGAUGAUCCGCCACACUGGGACUGAGACACGGCCCAGACUCCUACGGGAGGCAGCAGUGGGGAAUUUUGGACAAUGGGGGCAACCCUGAUCCAGCCAUUCCGCGUGACGUGAAGAAGGCCUUCGGGUUGUAAAGCUCUUUCAGCCUGGAGUGAAACGGUGCGCUCCUAACAUAGCGCGCUAAUGACGGUACCAGCAGAAGAAGCACCGGCUAACUACGUG
rnacentral:rRNA from 1 species